GACGAACGCUGGCGGCGUGCUUAACACAUGCAAGUCGAACGGAAAGUGCUCUUCGGAGUGACUCGAGUGGCGAACGGGUGAGUAACACGUGGGUGAUCUGCCCUGCACUUUGGGAUAAGCCUGGGAAACUGGGUCUAAUACCGAAUAGGACUCCGGAUCGCAUGGUCUGGGGUGGAAAGCUUUUGCGGUGUGGGAUGGGCCCGCGGCCUAUCGGCUUGUGGGUGGGGUGAUGGCCUACGAAGGCGACGACGGGUAGCCGGCCUGAGAGGGUGUCCGGCCACGCUGGGAAUGGGAUGCGGCCCGGACUCCUACGGGAGGCAGCAGUGGGGAAUAUUGCACAAUGGGCGCAAGCCUGAUGCAGCGACGCCGCGUGAGGGAUGACGGCCUUCGGGUUGUAAACCUCUUUCACCAGGGACGAAGCGUAAGUGACGGUACCUGGAGAAGAAGCACCGGCCAACUACGUGCCAGCCGCCGCGGUAA
rnacentral:rRNA from 1 species